AGCCUAGCGGUUAAGGCUAUGGAUCGCCAAUCCGGAGACGGCGGGUUCGACUCCCGU
rnacentral:tRNA from 1 species